GGGAUAGCCCAGGGAAACCUGGAUUAAUACCGGAUGAGACGGGACCCGCGAAGGCGGGACCCGGGAAAGCGCUGCGGCGCCGCCGGGGGAUGAGUCUGCGUCCCAUUAGCUAGACGGCGGGUAACGGCCCACCGUGGCGACGAUGGGUAGCCGGCCUGAGAGGGUGGACGGCCACAUUGGAACUGAGACACGGUCCAGACUCCUACGGGAGGCAGCAGCUAAGAAUCUUCCGCAAUGGGCGAAAGCCUGACGGAAGCGACGCCGCGUGAACGAAGAAGGCCGUGAGGUUGUAAAGUUCUUUUCGGGAGGGGGAACAACCGUGGCAGGGAAUGGCCGCGGGAUGACGUGAAUCCCGGAAUAAGCCCCGGCUAACUACGUGCCAGCCGCCGC
rnacentral:rRNA from 1 species